rnacentral:misc_RNA from 1 species
GAGAAGAACGCAGCGAAAUGCGAUAAGUAAUGUGAAUUGCAGAAUUCAGUGAAUCAUCGAAUCUUUGAACGCACAUUGCGCCCGCCAGUAUUCUGGCGGGCAUGCCUGUUCGAGCGUCAUUUCAACCAUCAAGCCCCCGGCUUGUGUUGGGGACCUGCGGCUGCCGCAGGCCCUGAAAAGCAGUGGCGGGCUCGCUGUCACACCGAGCGUAGUAGCAUACAUCUCGCUCUGGGCGUGCUGCGGGUUCCGGCCGUUAAACCACCUUCAUAACCCAAGGUUGACCUCGGAUCAGGUAGGAAGACCCGCUGAACUUAAGCAUAUCAAUAAGCGGAGGA